rnacentral:lncRNA from 1 species
UUGUUUAGUUUUUUUGCUACGCUAUCGUGGAUAAUUUGAUCAUUUUUUAAUUUUAUUACAAACCGUUGUCCUUGUGAUGGAUGAUAUUCAGCAUUAUCUUUGUUUUGUUCUCUUGUUUUUUUCUUCGUUUGAUCACCAUCGCACCCAGCCAUGUUCAUCUCAUGUAGAUUCGGAUGAUCAUAAUCUUGUUCAUCAGUUGAAUGAUCACUCUGAUCGGGAGUCG